UUGGUUAAGUCCCGCAACGAGCGCAACCCUUAUCCUUUGUUGCCAGCGGUCCGGCCGGGGAAACGUCAAAGGAGACUGCCAGUGAUAAACUGGAGGAAGGUGGGGAUGACGUCAAGUCAUCAUGGCCCUUACGACCAGGGCUACACACGUGCUACAAUGGCGCAUACAAAGAGAAGCGACCUCGCGAGAGCAAGCGGACCUCAUAAAGUGCGUCGUAGUCCGGAUUGGAGUCUGCAACUCGACUCCAUGAAGUCGGAAUCGCUAGUAAUCGUGGAUCAGAAUGCCACGGUGAAUACGUUCCCGGGCCUU
rnacentral:rRNA from 1 species